CUCGAGUGUUUAUGGGCUCCAUCAUCAAACCUGGUCCUGCGACACAGAUGAUCACACAGCAGGUAAUUGCUAUAAAUCGUUAAAGAGUUCCCUCGACUAUCUUUCUUCUCCAUCAUCAGAUCGACUCCAGACCUUUAUUAAAUAGUAGUGCUUUAUAGUACUUAAUGAAAACAUGAUUAAAUUUACUAGUCAUCCUUACGAUUUUUGAAAGUUUCCCUCGAUUUCUCUGGGAUCCCAUCAUCAGAUCCUGGUUUCCUUAUCAUGGUACCAAACUAUGAGUAUCUCCUUUCCAACAAAAAAAGAAUCAUCCAAAGCGGUUCAUAAACGAAGAAGUUAUCUCCGAACAUACAU
rnacentral:misc_RNA from 1 species